GAUGAACGCUAGCGGCAGGCCUAAUACAUGCAAGUCGAGGGGUAGAGAGAGCUUGCUCUCUUGAGACCGGCGCACGGGUGCGUAACGCGUAUGCAACCUACCUUUAUCUGGGGGAUAGCCCGAAGAAAUUCGGAUUAACACCGCAUAAAAUCACAGAACGCCAUCGUUAAAUGAUCAAAUAUUCAUAGGAUAGAGAUGGGCAUGCGUGCCAUUAGUUAGUUGGCGGGGUAACGGCCCACCAAGACCGCGAUGGCUAGGGGAUCUGAGAGGAUGGCCCCCCACACUGGUACUGAGACACGGACCAGACUCCUACGGGAGGCAGCAGUAAGGAAUAUUGGUCAAUGGAGGCAACUCUGAACCAGCCAUGCCGCGUGCAGGAAGACAGCCCUCUGGGUCGUAAACUGCUUUUAUUCGGGAAUAAACCUGCUUACGUGUAAGUAGCUGAAUGUACCGAAGGAAUAAGGAUCGGCUAACUCCGUGCCAGCCGCCGCAGUAACAC
rnacentral:rRNA from 1 species